CUCUGGAAACGGAGAGUAAUACCGUAUACGCCCUUCGGGGGAAAGAUUUAUCGGUUAAGGAUUGGCCCGCGUUAAUUAGAUAGUUGGUGGGGUAAUGGCCUACCAAGUCUACGAUCUAUAGCUGGUUUGAGAGGAUGAUCAGCAACACUGGGACUGAGACACGGCCCAGACUCCUACGGGAGGCAGCAGUGGGGAAUCUUAGACAAUGGGCGCAAGCCUGAUCUAGCGAUGCCGCGUGAGUGACGAAGGCCUUAGGGUCGUAAAGCUCUUUCACCAGGGAUGAUAAUGACAGUACCUGGAAAAGAAACCCCGGCUAACUCCGUGCCAGCAGCCGCGGUAAUACGGAGGGGGUUAGCGUUGUUCGGAAUUACUGGGCGUAAAGCGCACGUAGGCGGAUUAGUAAGUUAGAGGUGA
rnacentral:rRNA from 1 species